rnacentral:lncRNA from 10 species
GUUUGCAGGACUGGCACAUAGAAGGAUCAGCUUUUGACUGUUAACUGAGGACAAUUUAGUCUGGAGGUGCUUGUGGGCAGAUGAUAUUUGAAACCCCCUUAUGUUGGAUUCUGUGAAUAACUACACUCAAGAGUGCACGUCAGGGUUUAGCACUUCCUCAAUAAAGUGUGCUCCAAAAAGCCAAGGGACGAAACGUUUUAAGAAGCUCAGCUGUUGCAGUGAGGCAAGUAUGCUGCGCUGUCGUGGUGGGACAACUUAUCCACACUGGUGGAUAUCUCCCACUUUCCUGGAAAUGCAACAGCCAAGUGGCAUGGGGGCUCAGCCUGAAGAAAGAGUAGCACGGACGUGGUCGAAUCAGAUAGAGGAAAGGUCCACUCCAACAUGAAGACACUGGGAGGAAAGAAAGAAUAAUGAAGGAAGCUAAAAGUGGAAUCACUGGGAUAGGAGAAGAAACAAAGAAAGUCCAUCCAGGAAGCCGACCCAAAGGUAAGUGAAAGGUAGAUGGCAUUCUUGUUUGUAUACAGAGGAAACAACUGGAGCUUGGGGGAGUGAAGACGCCUUUGGUUUGCUGACUCCUGUUCUGGGGCUCCAUGGUAAGUGGGAGAAAAGCACAGCCUCAUAGGUUCUUUGGGAAAUGCUCUGAAGUAUUCUUGGGAAUAAGGAGGGGUCUAUUCCCGGGAUGUAAAUGUCCUGCAAUGUACAAUGCAACCCCACCCCGCCAUCAAAUGAAGAUUAUCCUGCUAUAAAUGCCAGGAGCACCCUCAGGGAGAAACACUGUACUUGGACAACAUAGAUCUACAGAACGUUGCUCUUGCAUAUGGGGGCUUUAAUGGCUGCCCCCAAGAAUCCAGCUGGGACCCAGACAAACAUUUUAUUCAUUUCCCAAAUCACUAACCCAGAGCCAGUUUUAUGGUCAUAUCCCCCC